UACGGAGGGUGCGAGCGUUGUCCGGAAUCACUGGGCGUAAAGGGCGCGUAGGUGGCUCCUCAAGCCGCGCGGUGAAAGCCCGGGGCUCAACCCCGGGUCGGCCGUGCGGACUGGGGGGCUCGAGCACUGUAGGGGCGGGUGGAAUUCCGGGUGUAGCGGUGAAAUGCGUAGAUAUCAGGAGGAACACCUGCGGUGUAGACGGCUUACUGGACCAUAACUGACGCUGAGGCACGAAAGCGUGGGUAGCAAACAGG
rnacentral:rRNA from 1 species